GAAAGGGUGUUUAAUAUACCAUUAUAUGUGACGAGGUUUUUACAAAACUCACUAAAACCCCAUCAAGAUCAGCAGAUACAGUCGAACAAAAGCUUUGUCAAAAAAACGACACAGCUACUAAUAUCUCUGCAUCUUAAACUAACAUCACAUCAGAACCUAGCUAUACAAACACCAAGCUUAAAAAAAACUGAGCCAUUUUUUUCAUAGAGGAAUUUCAUCAAACAGUUG
rnacentral:misc_RNA from 1 species